CUAAAAAUAGAUGCAGAAUUAUUUUUUAUAGUCUCAAUAAAAAAUGUUUACUAAACUUGGGCUAUUGUUGUUUACUUAGAAAAUAUAAUUUUUAAAAUCAACCCUUUCACGCAUAAGUUACAAAUAUUUUAACUGACCCCUUGUUUCCAUGGCGACGCGUCAUGAUUGUCACGUGACACACCGCGGCCACAAUAACUAACAGAUGUAUCGCUAUUCGUUUUAUUUCGUUUUCAUUUUUUAUUAACAAAUAUUCACAAACAUUGACACGCUUACCAUGUCAACUAUUUGAUAUUCCGAUUCUUCGUUUAAAAACCUUUAUAAAUUAUCUUGAUCUAACGAGAUGAGCGCUGCAGUUCAGAGUCCUGUCAGCCGGAUUUAACGUUACAGCCAAACUGUCUCUGGUACAGCACUUGAAUUCCCCAGUUUCUCCCGAAAUACAUGAAACAGGAACAUGCCCCCAAAGCUGCAGGGUUCCCCACGGAGCCAACCUUUACGCUGCUGAAGUCAGAGGUCGUCCGUCCCAGAGGGAAACAGUGGCGACACCCCAGUGCCUGAGGAGACAGAGGCGGGUUGUCUUUCACUGAUGCCUCCCAGUUGUUUUGGGAUAUGGAUCUCAUGUGCACCUGUCUGAACCGACACUAUUUACCAUUACAACAGAUUUUGCCAUUAACAAGUCCAUCCAAGUCUAAAGGGGAACAACUGUUUCUAAGACAGAUUGACAGCAACUUUGGUGAUGUGUAGGAGGAUUCUUGUAAAGAAAAGGUUAGCAUGAAAUGGAUGGAUGAAUGUGUUGAUAUAUGAUCUGAUGAAUGCUGUAACCUUGCCAUGUCUGUUUUCUGACACAACCUCUGCUGGAAAGGGUUAAGGAGUCUCUUCCUUUGUUUUCUCUGACUGAUUAAUGGGGCAAGGCUGCUUGUGUUUGUAACACAUGCAUUUGGCUACUCAUGCCAUAGUCUUUAAAGAUGCCUCUGCAUUUAGCAGGCUUGCCCAGGCUUUGGAAAAUGAUACAUAGAUUAAACACACAUUUUUUUCUAGCAAGAAAAACACUCUCAAGCCCCUAUAGUUGGAGGAGGAAUCAAAACUAACAUAACAAUGAUUGGGAGUGUGGGGGACUUUGCCAAGACUACACAAACACAGAUUCAUAUCCUUCAUGCACUCUAUAACUUUGUGCUUGUGGAAGAGAACCAAAUGAGGAUCAAACAUGUAAAAACAAAAAAUAAGUAGGCGUAAAGCAAUAGUGCAAGUUUUUGCACUGUUGUAAGAUGAAGAAAACAGCA
ensembl:lncRNA